UAAGUAGCAGAAUUAGGAACGGAGGGGAGGAAGCAAUUGCAGUGGUCCAGGAAAAAAUAACAGGAUUAUUUCCUGUAAGGUUCUAGAUGUUUACCCAUACAGAUUUAUUUCAUACUCAGGACAAUCCUCUGAAAGAGUUGCUGCUAUUUCACAGUUAUAGACAAGGAAACUGGGGCACAGAAAGGUGGACUUAUACAAGGUCUUAAGCUGCAGAGGGAAAAAGUGGAAAAUUUGGAAGAGAGAGGAAACAACCGAUGAAGUCCAUGGGACAGCAGGAGAAAAGAGGAUCUAUAAUGAAUGUGGAGGGAUUGGAUAUUAUUAGACAAAGGUCCUGUACUUUGUUGGACUUUGAAGUGUCUUAAUGAACCUGAACUUACUUAUUAUAUCUCAUCAACUGUGACUCAGUAAAUCUUCAGAUAAUGAUAAUGACGGCAAUCCUUUCUUUUGAGAAAAAAAUUUAUGGAUUAUGAAAAGGCUUAAGAUGCCCUAAAUAAGUACUAGUGGUUUUUACUUUCCACAUCCAAGUAGUAUAAUUCAGAAACUGAAACCCUCAAUCCAGAUGUCUUCCUCAGUACCCCUGGGCUCUAGACAGGACCUUCAAGAUGGCAGAGGAGUAAGACGUGGAGAUCACUUUCCUCCCCACAAAUACGUCAGAAAUACACCUACAUGUGGAACCACUCCUACAGAACACCUACUGAACGCUGGCAGAAGAACUCAGACCUCCCAAAAGGCAAGAAACUCCCCACCUACCUGGGUAGGGCAAAAGAAAAAGACGAAUAGGGACGGGACCUGCACCAGUGGGAGGGAGCUGUGAAAGAGGAAAGGUUUCCACACACUAGAAAGGCCCUUCGCGGGCUGAGACUGCGGGUGGCAGAGGGGGGUAGCUUCACAGCCGCGGAGGAGAGCGCAGCAACAGGGGUGCGGAGGGCAAAGCAGAGAGAUUCCCGCAUGGAGGAUCGGUGCCGACUGGCACUCACCAGCCCGAGAGGCUUGUCUGCUCACCCGCCGGGGCGGGCGGGGCUGGGAGUUGAGGCUCGGGCUUUGGUCGGAGCGCAGGGAGAGGACUGGAGUUGGCUGCAUGAACACAGCCUGAAGGGACUAGUGCACCACGGCUAGCCGGGAGGGAGUCCGGGAAAAAGUCUGGAGCUGCCGAAGAGGCAAGAGACCAUUAUUUCGGGGUGCAAGAGGAGAGGGGAUUCAGAGCACCACCUAAAGGAGCUCCAGAGACGGGCGCGAGCCGAGGCUAUCAGCGCGGACCCCAGAGACGGGCAUGAGAUGCUAAGGCUGCUGCUGCCGCCACCAGGAAGCCUGUGUGCGAGCACCGGUCACUAUCCACACCCCCCCUUCCGGGGAGCCUGUGCAGCCCGCCACUGCCAGGGUCCCAGGAGCCAGGGACCACUUCCCUGGGAGAACACGGCGCACCUCAGGCUGGUGCAACGUCCCGGUGACCUCUGCCGCCGCAGGCCCACCCCGCACUCCGUGCCCCUCCCUCCCGCCGGCCUGAGAGAGCCAGAGUCCCCGAAGCAGCUGCUCCUUUAACCCUGUCCUGUCUGGGCCGGAACAGACACCCUCAGGAGACCUACACGAAGAGGCGGGUCCAAAUCCAAAGCUGAACCCCCGGAGCUGUGCGAACAAAGAAGAGAAAGGGAAAUCUCUCCCAGCAGCCUCAGAAGCAGCGGAUUAAAGCUCCACAAUCAACUUGAUGUACCCUGCAUCUGUGGAAUACAUGAAUAGACAAUGAGUCAUCCCAAAUUGAGAAGGUG